rnacentral:rRNA from 1 species
AGUGAACGCUGGCGGUAGGCCUAACACAUGCAAGUCGAACGGCAGCACAGUAAGAGCUUGCUCUUACGGGUGGCGAGUGGCGGACGGGUGAGGAAUACAUCGGAAUCUACUUUUUCGUGGGGGAUAACGUAGGGAAACUUACGCUAAUACCGCAUACGACCUACGGGUGAAAGCAGGGGAACUUCGGACCUUGCGCGAUUGAAUGAGCCGAUGUCGGAUUAGCUAGUUGGCGGGGUAAAGGCCCACCAGGGCGACGAUCCGUAGCUGGUCUGAGAGGAUGAUCAGCCACACUGGAACUGAGACACGGUCCAGACUCCUACGGGAGGCAGCAGUGGGGAAUAUUGGACAAUGGGCGCAAGCCUGAUCCAGCCAUACCGCGUGGGUGAAGAAGGCCUUCGGGUUGUAAAGCCCUUUUGUUGGGAAAGAAAAGCAGCAGGUUAAUACCCCGCUGUUCUGACGGUACCCAAAGAAUAAGCACCGGCUAACUUCGUG